UUCUUUAUGCAUUCAUCUAUCAAUAAACCCUUGGGUUCUUUCCAGAUCUUGGCUAUUGUAAAUAACGCUGCAGUAAACAUAAGGGUGCACAUAUCUUUUCAAAUUACUGUUUUCAUUUUCGUUAGGUAAAUGCCUAGUGGUAGAAUUACUAAAGCAUAUCGUAAUUCUGUUUUUAAUUUUUUGAGGAACCUGUUUUCCACAGUGGCUGCACCAAUUUGCAUUCCCACAAACAGUGUACAAGGGUUCCUUUUUCUCCACAUCCUCGCUAUUGUUAUUUGUUGUGUUUCUUUAUUUUAGUCAUUCUGAAAGGUGCAAAGUGAUAUUGUUUUAAUUUGCAUUUCCCUGAUGAUUAGUGAUGUUGAGCAUCUUUUUAUGUGUCUGUUCGCCAUCUGUAUGUGUCUUCUUUGGAUAAAUGUCUAUUCAGGUCCUCUGCCCAUUUUUAGUUUGAUUUUUUUUUUUUUGGUGUUGUGUAAGUUCUUUAUAUAUUUUGUAUACUAACUCCUUAUUGGAUAUAUCAUUUGCAAACAUCUCCUAUUCAGUAGGUUGCAUUUUUGGUUUUUUGGUGAUUUCCUUUGUGGUUCAAAAGCUUUUUAUUUCAGUGUAGUCCCAAUAGUUUAAUUUUGCUUUUGUUUCCUUUGCCAGAGGAGACAUAUCUAGAAAAAUGCUUUUAAUGGCUGAAAUCAAAGAAAUUAUUACUGAUGUUUUCUUCUAAGACUUUUCUGGUUUCAGGUCUCACAUUUAGGUCUUUAAUCCACUUUGCGUUUAAUCUUGUAUAUGGUGUAAGAAAGUGGUCCAGUUUCAUUCUUUUGCAAGUAGCUGUCCAGUUUUCCCAACACAUUUGUUGAAGAAAUUGUCUUUUUCCCGUUGUAUAUUCUUGCCUCCUUUGUUGUAGAUUAAUUGACCAUAAAAGCAUGGGUUUAUUUCUGGACUUUCUAUUCUGUUCCAUUGAUCUAUGUGUCUGUUUUUUGUGCCAGCACCAAACUGUUUUGAUUACUACAGCUUUGAAGUAAAUCUUGAAAUCUGGGAUUGUGAUACCUCUAGCUUUGUUCUUCUUUUCCAAGAGUGCUUUGGCUAUUUGGGGUCUUUUGUGCUUCUAUAUAAAUUUUAGGAUUAUCUAUUAUACUUCUGUGAAAAAUAUUUUUGGUAUUUUGAGAGGGAUUGUAUUAAACGUGGAUUGCUUUGGGUAGUAUGGACCUUUUAACAAUAUUGGUUCUUCCAAUACAUGAGUAUGGAAUUUUUUUCCAUUUUUUUGUGUCAACUUCAGUGUCUUCCAUCAAUGUUCUGAAUUUAUCUGUUAGUUCCAUCUGGUCCAAUGUGUCAUUCAAAGCCCUUGUUUCCUUGUUGAUUUUCUGUCUGGAUGAUCUAUCUGUUGAUGUAAGUGUGUGUUAAUGUCCCCUACUAUUAUUGUGUUGCUGUUAAUAUUUUCCUUUAUGUCUGUUAAUAGUUGCUUUAUGUGUUUGGGUGUUCCCAUGUUGCAUGUAUUAAUAUUUACAGUUGUUAUAACUUCUUCUUGGAUUGGUCCCCUUAUUAUGUAGUGUCCUUUGUCUUUUGCGCCCCCAGACUUUGUUUUAAAGUCUGUUUUGUCUGGGGCGCCUGAGUGGCUCAGUUGGUUAAGCAGCCAACUUCAGCUCAGGUCAUGUUCUCAUGGUUUGUGAGUUCAAGGCCUGCAUUGGGCUAUGUGCUGACACCUUGGAGCCUGGAGCCUGCUUCAGAUUCUGUGUCUCCCUGGCUCUCUGCCCCUCCCCUGCUUGUGCUCUGUCUCUGUCUCUCAAAAAGUGAAUAAAAACGUUAAAAAAAAUAGUCUAUUUUGUCCAAUUUGAAUUGCUACCCUAACUAUCUUUUCACUUCCAUCUGCAUGGUAAAUGUUUUCCUAUCUCUUCAUUCUCAGUCUGCACGUGUCUUUAAGUCUGAAGUGAGUCUCUUGUAGGCAGCACAUAGAUGGGAUGAGACCUGUAUUUUGGAAAGUGGGCAGAAUAUGGUUAAAGUAAGAGGAAGGACUGCAGUGAUAUGAAAAAAAAAAAAAAACACAUGGAAACAAGAGUUCCAUAAGUGGACUGUUAACAAACUUACUUUUUAUGUUAAAAUUCUUGAUUGACAAAUAAUUCUCUUCACUCACCAUGAGAUGAGCAGGUUAGGCCAAGUUGUGCUUGAUCUGCUGUGAGUGAACAACCCCACCCUUCUUUAAGACCCUUGACACAGAUUGCUAUCAAUCACCUGCUUUCCCUCCAAACCUUUUCCAGCAUAGUAACAUUCAAGGCAGCAGCUAUCAGCCGGUCAACAUUCAUGUUUCCCAUUUUUUGCCUCACCAUUGAUUUGGAAAAUUACUUAUAAACUAUUUAAAAUCAUGAAUGGUUAGAACGGGGAGAAAACUACAGGGUCAUUCAGGGAGGUGCUGGAACUAGCUCUCAGAUCUCUUGAGUGAAGUCUAGUGUUUUUCUGUUUCAUAGAUGAACUAGACCAGAUGAACUGUUCCUUGUUAGUACAAUGUAUAUUAUAUGAGCUUUCAGUGAUUUUUUUUUUAAAGCUAAGUUUUGUUACAAAAAUAAUGCAGGCUCAUGAAAAAUCAAAAAUUACAAAACGUACAAUAUGGAAGUAAAUAUCUCAGCCCUUUGCUCCAUUAUCCCUGUUAUCUAUAUGUUGCCUUCCAAAAUUCCAACUUUUACUUUCCAGAGGAAGCUGCUUUAAAGUUCAUAUACACGUAUGGAAAUGUUCUUUACAUAGACUGUAUCUCUCUGCGUCUGUGUCAGUCGUUGCCUCUCUUCAUGUGGAUAAAAUCAUGCUAUGUAAAUUUUCCUUCAAAUUACUUUUUUUAACCUAAAAAUGUAUUUUGCAGACUUUCCUUAGCCCAUAUAUACCUACUUUUUUUUCUUUAGCUGAAUGGUAUGCAAUUAUAUGGAUAUAUCCUCCUUUCAAUGGCAAUUUGAGGUAUUUCCAAUUGCCGUUUUUACAAAUAAUGUUGCAGGGAACAUCCGUCCUAAUAUAUCUUUGGGUAUUUGUGGGUAAGCGUAACUGUCAGAUACAAUAUAGAGCUUGAAAUUAUUGAGCCAAAAGUUAUGUGCAUUUUACAUUUUGAUAGCUAUUAUCAAAUAGUUCUGUUACAAACCAUUUUCCUAUAAAUCAUUGGUAUAGAAAAUGCUUAUUUUCCCCCAACAUCUUCAAUAGCUGGCAUUAAAAAAAAUUCUAAUUAUGGCCAUCUGGAAGGUAGAAAUCUUAAAAAUGUGUUAAUUUAUGUAUGCUCCAUUCUGAGUGAUGUAAGCACAGAAUUUGCCCACUGUUUAUUUACAGUGCACUUAUUGACAUGCACUGCCUGCUCAUUUCCGUGCUCAAACUUAUUGAUCUUUACUUUUGAGAAAAAAAUAAUGUUGGAAAGCCCUGAUUUCGAUACAAUUCUCUCCUUAUUCAUCUUUUCUAAAAUUUCAAAAUUACCUUUGAUGCAUUUCUCCAUUUUCAGGAUUUUAAUAUUUUUCCUCUACAUUGGUCCACCCCAUCUGCCCCCUCACCCAAAAGGGGAAAAUAAUAACCUUCUCCUUCCUUUUAUCUUCUUCAAUUGAGAAUGGUCCAACAUUGAUCACAUUAAAGCAGUUGUUUAAACUAAAUCCCUUUUUCAAGGGAUGCAGUCAGUAUGUAACCAUAGAUAUCAUAUUUUGAAGUCAAAUAGAGGUGGUGGUUUUGACUAUCAUCUAGUAGCUCAACCUUAGCCAAAUUAGGAAAUACCUCCUACCCCAAAGAAGGGGAUGAGGCUUAUAUGUUAAAUAAAAAGGGGUGGGGCUUAUAUGUUAAAGGGCAAACACAGCUCACACACACACACAAAAAAACCUUCAAAAAUGGUAUCUAUUGUUAUUACUGUUAAGAAAUUUGGAGAAUAUAUUUUGGGUAAUUUACUUAGUUCAAAAUAAGAAGCAAUAUAUCUAGAGUGUUAAUUCAUGUUUAAGUGUUUGGUUGCAGUUAGGGUGAGGAGGACUACCAGUACUGUCAAAAGUCUCUGAUGGUCUGGGUUCAGAGAUAAUUUUUGUUAUAAUGUUGCUUAGUAUAUUGUACUCCAUUGUCUUGUUGCCACCUAGUGUGGGUUCUUCCUAUUCAUUUUGUGUCUCAGUGGUACCCACUGUAGGUCAAGUCAUGUGUUUUUGGAUAGGGAUAUAUAUAACGGGCCAAAGUGACCAAACUUGGCUGAUUUGUUUAGAAUGAAUCCUACUGAAAAUUUUACCUCCUGUUUACCUGAGGGCUAUUCAGGAACACAUUACUACUGUGAAGACUUUUUCACUUAAUUUUUGAAUGGGGAAUUUAUUCACAUGAUUGAGGUAGUUUAUUUCACCCUCAUCCACUAUCUUUUGAGUUUUCUGCAUCCUAUUCCUACCCUUGUGGAGUUAGAAAUAUUUUAGAGAGGCAGACAAGAGAUUGCAACAAAGUCUGACAGCACACUUAAGGUCUUCUCAUUACUGGUGAUUCUUGGUGGGGUUGUUGGGUUCUGGGAGGGAGGGCAUUCCAGAAUCCUGACCGAGAAGCUUCAGCCAUGAAAUUUUAAUAUAUAUCAGAUUAAGACUUUAAAAGAUUGACAAACAGUUAAAGGAAUAAACUGCCAUAGAUGAAAUAAAAUGGUUCCUUGGUCUAUUUAUUGAAAUCUCUAUUGCAGUAAUCCCCCUGUAUGUGGCAGCCUCUAGAGGUUAGUUAUAUGAAAAUGCUUCCUGAAGUAGUUUAAAUUGGGUACUCUUGGCCUCUUCUUACCAAAAUGCAUGGGUGAAAACUAACAUAUGUGACACUUUCAUCUGUGUACUUUAGCUAAGUAGAAAUGACCCAUUUCCAGGUUGUAAUAACAUAUUGUAUAUAAUGGUAACGUUAUUACGUUUAUAAUAUAUAAAUGGAAUUAAUUGUAUAAUGUUAUACCAUAUCAUUGUGAAAUGCAUAUUGUAAUAUGUUGUAAUAUAUCCAAGCCCAAUAUGAGUAAAACUCUUAUUUGCAUGCCUGCAUUCUUAUGAAUAUUAUGGAAAUGAGUAAGUUCGUUUCUUAGUAACAAGUUUCCAUAGCUCACAAUCACUUAAAUAUGUGUAUCUAAAGUUUCUCAUCAGUGCUUUAGAAGUUUUCCCCUAAACAAAGCAAUCUGUCUUUUUAUUUUUCACGAAAUCGUUUUUCUAUUUUAGCGUACAUUCCUUUUUCAUUUUUAAGUCUGUAAUCUUCGUUAUAUAAACUGCAGGCUAUCUGAGUGAGGUAAUCUACUCUCCCCUCUGCUGGAAGGGGGAAUGUUUUCCUGUGCCACCAUGUAAUUUGCUUUGCAACAAUUAUUGCUAUUUGUAACCAGAGAUAGUGAUCACAGGACACAUGUAGCUGAAUUUAGAAUCUGUAGAAAACAGGGAAGGCAGUAUGACUGUUUCUAAAUGUCAUUGACUUAAUGAUUUUAAUUCUUUAAAAAUUUUAAAGUUCAAAUGCAUCAAUCCAAACCAUUCAUUUCUGAAAUGUACUUCAGAUAAAUCCCUCCAUGUUCUGAUGUUGCAAAUGGCUGUCAGUAAAUUAUUUUAUUUCCCCGAGUCCCUGCAGUUUCUUAGCCUCAUUUCCAAUGAUAUAGUUUAUCAGAUAACUUAUCUUUAGUCCUAUUUUUAAAACUACAGAAGCCAAAUAUCAUGUAUUCUAGGCAAUUUAGGGAGUCAUACCGACAGGUAUAUGGUACAUAUGGUGUCUUAUAAUCCUUUCCAGGCUUUCUAUCAAGGAAUCCUAGAUGUAUAUGUAAUUGGUAUCUUUUACCAGUUGUACAUGAAAUUUACAAAUGUUUCUUUGGCCUUCUAAUUCUUCUUUUUUUUUUC